rnacentral:rRNA from 1 species
GUGGGGAAUUUUGCGCAAUGGGGGCAACCCUGACGCAGCGACGCCGCGUGGAGGACGAAGUCUUUCGGGAUGUAAACUCCUGUCAGUGGGGACGAUAAUGACGGUACCCACAGAGGAAGCACCGGCUAACUCCGUGCCAGCAGCCGCGGUAAGACGGAGGGUGCAAGCGUUGUUCGGAAUUACUGGGCGUAAAGCGUAUGUAGGCGGCAAGUUAAGUUCAAUGUUAAAGCCCACGGCUCAACCGAGGAGAUGCAUUGAAUACUGGCUAGCUAGAGGGUGUUAGAGGAAGACGGAAUUCCCAGUGUAGCGGUGAAAUGCGUAGAUAUUGGGAGGAACAUCGGUAGCGAAAGCGGUCUUCUGGGACAUACCUGACGCUGAGGUACGAAAGCGUGGGGAGCAAACGGGAUUAGAUACCCGAGUAGUCC